CCAUUAGUAAUGAUUAGAACAUUAAGUUACCUUAGGGAUAACAGCGCAAUUUCUUCGGAGAGUUCAUAUUGAUGAGGAAGUUUGCGACCUCGAUGUUGGAUUAAAAUUAGUGUUAGGUGUAGCAGCUUAAUAACUAGGUCUGUUCGACCUUUAAAGUUUUACAUGAUCUGAGUUCAGACCGGCGUAAGCCAGGUCAGUUUCUAUCCAUAAU
rfam:Rhodnius prolixus Rhodnius_prolixus-3.0.3-15220.1, whole genome shotgun sequence.